UUAGUUUCCUGGAGCUCGCCUCUUAUCAUCGUGGAAACAUUUGUGAAUAGGUCAGUGAGCGACUCAGCCAAGUGGUCCUGCUCCAUCUUUCGCAGCAGUUCACGUUUAGGAGCCUUGUCGAGGACCGGAAAGAGACAAAUACGAAACGGAGAGCCGCCUCCUUCUAGAUAGGGAGAAUGAGCGAGCCACCACAGAAUCAAUGAUCGCCGGUGAACAAACGGAGAAAUGCCACACACAAGGUAUUUCAGUUAUUAGAUAUUAG
rnacentral:misc_RNA from 1 species